UUGCUGUGUUGCUAGGGGACUUGCCUUAGAACUUCCGAGCAAAGGGAAGCCACUGGGACUUUGUAGGGGAGCAGGGCAGCAUGGUGGGAUUUGGAAGACUCUCUGGUGGCCAUGUGGAAGACACAUAGGAAGGGACUAGGGAAUCUCCAGCUAGGAGGUUGUAGAAUGUUAGCCAGUUUCCCAUUCCUAUAACAAAUAUCAGAGAAAAGCCAGCUUAGAAAAAGAAACGGUUUAUGUGAGCUCACGGUCUUGGAGGCGUCAGUCCAUGCCUCCGGCAUCUUUAAGGAAGUUUCCAAGGAAAUAAGCAUAUUUUUGGACACCAAGCAAGGAGAGUGUCCCUGGCACGGAGAUGCAGAAAUCCCUGCUCAUCAAAGAUGACCGCACGGAGGUCAGGGGCGGAGCUCAGUUGGUAGAAUACCUGCCCAUCACACACAGCACUCUGGCUUUAAUCCCCACAGUGUACAUCUGUAAUCCCAGCGCUGGGAAUGUAGAGGAAGCAGGAUGCUUCAGGGUUAUCUCUGACUAUAAAGUGAGUUCAAAGUCAGCCUGACAUACAUGAAGGAGAGCUUGUCUCAAAAAACUGACAAAAUAAGAUAAAAAUAACAAGAUGACUAUAAGAUGAUUCUAGAAGGGCUAUGUUAGGUAGAGAGACUGGGUAACUUUAAAAGAUUUUUGAAACAUGGUUACCGUACUUCAGUAGAAGAAACCUGCAUUUGUGAUAAUAAUAAAAAGCAUUAUUGAACAA